UUCUAACGCUUAUGGCUCUGUUUGGUAGCUCAGUAUUUUUGAAACGAAAGUAGGCCUAAACCGCAGUAUACUGAUGCCCGCCAGUGAAAUACCACAAAAACCCCAUUUUUCUGUUGUUUUAGCAUAAAUCUGAGGUGUUUGAGAAUAUGUGCACGCACUGCAGUAUUUAGUUGCUCUAUGCUAUGGAGUUUGUUAAUGUCGGAGGAGCCAAAUUGAACUGAACGUGGGUAUGUUGCUUCGGACAAUUGCAUAGGCUAGCAGUAGAUCAAUUAGAUGCUCUUUGUUCGGUUCAGCUAGCUCCAAAAGUAUCCGCUAGCAAGUCUCCCGAAGGAGGAGGCAUCAGGUUGGGUUAGCGAGUGAUUCAAGGAACCGACGGAUCACAUCUCCACAGAUCGCUGAAGAAGAUCGCGCGGUGGCCCUGCAGGACAUGUGAAAGAGGCGGAAGAAGAAAGCCCUUUCUAAGUUCCAGAAAAAAGAGGUCGGGGGUUCUUUUUUAGAUUCAGAAAAAAAACACAGUUUUGACUAUAAUGUAUUAGUAUUUAAAACUGUUGUUCUUAUUUGAGCCAAACACCUCAAAUUAUCUAAAACUAUGGUGUUUCUAAAAGUUAAAUAUCUGCCAAAUACUGAGAAAAUAUUUUGCUACCAAACGCAGGUUAAGCACAAGGCAAUGAUGGAACACGCAUUGCCUUACAGGUUAUACUGGUUUGUGCAAUAAGUUAGAAGUACCAUGUAUGCUCAAAUGCUUUGAUUGAAGGCUUUAUCUCGAGACAAACAUUUAAAAGUGAUUCUUACUGGAAAUAGAUAGAGCAUUUCUUCCGGGUAUUAUUUAUUCCAUGUUUCUAAAAAAAAUCAUUGUUGCCUUUUGUGCAAGUUUAGCUGAAUGAAACAUGAUACUUUGUGUAAGAUGUAUUGUGUAUGCUCAAAUAUUUUACUCUAAGGUUUAUAUUGUGAACCCAAAUAUUGCUGAAUAGAACUAAAUGUGAAUUCUAAAUGGAGACUUAUUUAAUAUUUCUUUAGGGCCAAAAAGAUCGGAUGCUUCAAACUCUUUUAUUAUAGUAUUUUCCAAAUCUGCUACCCUGUACGAAUUAAGCAAUGUUACCACCAGGUUGUAGAAUUAGCUGGUUAUGGAGCAUUUUGGUUGUUGUGACCGAAUUCCCUUGUUCUCCUCCCUUGCCAUCGUGCAAUUAUUCGAAAUAUAGUUGUCAUGCUAGGUAAAGCGGGAUUAUGUAUGCCACUGUCAUACAUUUUUACUAAAUUGUGCACUUCCCAUUUGCUAACUUCUAUCUUAGUAGUUUUUUUUUUUUUUUGAUGUUUUGUCUGUAUAUAUGAUAUAGUGCGUAUUUGUACCUCUUUCUGGUUACCAAAUGGUCAUUUUAAUUUUGAAAUAGCUCCAUUUAAAUACUAUUUGCCAAAAAAUUAUCUGUAGUCAUUAAUAGCUAGCAGGCCAAACAAAAAUGUAAUAACCAGAUUGUAAAUAUCAGUUGUGCUCGCGUAUUGAUGUUUUUUCUGUAUAGUCAUUUCGUAACUAGAAAGAGACACAAAUACGAAAUGGUCAUUUUAAUUUCCAAACAGUUCAAUCUAAAUACUAUUUGCCAAGCAUUAUCUAUAGUCAUUAGUAGCUAGCAGGCCAAACAAAAAAGUAAUAACCAGAUUGUAAACAUCAGUUGUGCUCAGGUAUGUGUUGUCAGUGUAACCUGAUGGCUUCAUGCAUUUUGGUUCUGCUACCUGGAACAGAAAAUAUACUAUUCCACUACAUUUGAUUCUCUGAAGUUAAUGGAGAAGUUAAAUGAGAGUUCGCUAUUGGACAAUGUUUUUCUUUUCCUGCAAAUAGUUGUUGAGUUUGCUACCAAUAGAGCACCAAUUAUUUUUCUGAGAACAACUGUCAUGUGUAGUCUAAUUUCAGGCCCUUCCUAAAUUUAGAUAUGCGCCUCUGUUCCUUAACUCCGCUGGGGCAAUGUGCACUGUGGUGUUCUUAUUCUUAAGUCAUCACUUAUUGUUUUAUAGAUGUAAAUGGACCUUUUGUACUGCAUGCUUUUUACAUGCAUCUCACUGUACUGUUACCCUGCUAGCUUUUAGGUAUUUAACAUUGCCAAUUUUAUGAUUUCCAAGCAGUUUAUCUUCUUAUUUUCCAUUUAUGUUGUUGCCUGCAAGCCUGCAAGAGAGGAAUAGUUAUGCCUUCUCCAAUAUCAAAUGAGUGGUUUUUAUCCUUUUGCUCAUUUUUAUGUUUUUUUAAUUUUUAUAUAAAUAACUACUUUAUAAUGGAAAAGGACUACUUCUCAUAGGUGUCCUUCCAAGUUUAUGGACCUGAUCUUUUACUUAGAUGCUUAUUGACCUGGGUUUUUUUUGCGCACUGAAAUAGUGUCUGGUGUUAAGUUCCGAUGCUUCUAGGCUUUAUGAUUCAUGAUAAUAUUUCCUAAUAUGUUUUUGACUAGCCUCUCCAUACUGUGUCUAUUCUGGAAUUUGUAGGUUAUUUUCAUGCCAAAGCACUCAAUAUUGGCGACCUACGGCUUGCUACCACAUAACACAUCGGAAGCUAAAGAGUUGUGCCUCCCCGAGGCCAUUUAGUUCUUCCUUUGAAGGUAGAAUGUCCGGGUCAAUACAGUGAACAUUGUCCAUAAAUACCCCAGCUGCGCCACGGAUCCCACCUUUCUUCCUCACCAAAAGGCAUCCCUGAUCUAGCAGUACGGUGAUCAAAUACUCCACCGAUUCUUGGCUCAUGGCGCCCAAAGCUGCGGAGAAAAGACGCAUUGCUCAUCAUUAUGCAGCCAGCAGUGUUGCAAGAUCUGCAGUAUUUUUUGCACCUAACAAAGAUAGCACCAGCUAAUAUUGUGACCAGCAACCCUCCUGGAUUUUCUCCCCCGGAUCGACUUGCCGAACAAAAAGGAGAAAAGGCCCGUGGAAAGAUAGGGUUCACAGGACCGCCCACCAGGCAUAGCAAGCAGGAAAUGUAGGCCUCCAGUGGUCCGAUUUCUACUAGAGAUCCAGCAACGUCGCCUCUUCAAGAGAGGAGUCACCCAGCAUCCUAAUGACCUUGUGGAGAUACCAUCAACAUUUGAGCACCACAUCACUGGCAAGUUUCCCCAGAAGAUCGUCCCGAGGAACACGGCCGGGAAUGUAUGUGGCGCGCGUUUAAUAGAAUGGAGGAGUGGGAGGUGACAGUCUGAUCUUCACAUACAUCCAUGGCUCCUUGAUGCAGGUAUCCAUCUUCGGCAACAACUAUGGGAAAAAGAGAUCAGCCACAUUUUAUAAGCAGUAGAAUGUUAGUAUAUUUAGCCAUCAUCUAGAUAUUCUCUUUUGAUCUUGCUUUUGUUCACUGCGCCACACUAUUUUGUUGAUCGCCUGUUUACCAGCACGACAUUUUUAAUAAUUUUAAUUCUAAUAUCAUAGGAUUGCAAUGACACUAUUAAGAUCCUUAAAUAUAUUAGUAAGGAUGUCUUGGCCUACUUGGUUCAUAACA